ACGGAAGGCAGCAGUGGGGAAUAUUGCACAAUGGGGGAAACCCUGAUGCAGCGACGCCGCGUGAGUGAAGAAGUAUUUCGGUAUGUAAAGCUCUAUCAGCAAGGAAGAAAAUGACGGUACUUGACUAAGAAGCCCCGGCUAACUACGUGCCAGCAGCCGCGGUAGUACGUAGGGGGCAAGCGUUAUCCGGAUUUACUGGGUGUAAAGGGAGCGUAGACGGCAUAGCAAGUCUGAAGUGAAAUGCAUGGGCUCAACCCAUGAACUGCUUUGGAAACUGUUAAGCUAGAGUGCAGGAGAGGUAAGUGGAAUUCCUAGUGUAGCGGUGAAAUGCGUAGAUAUUAGGAGGAACACCAGAGGCGAAGGCGGCUUACUGGACUGUAACUGACGUUGAGGCUCGAAAGCGUGGGGAGCAAACAGGAUUAGAUACCCUGGUA
rnacentral:rRNA from 1 species